rnacentral:sRNA from 1 species
CCCACGACUUACGUCGUGGGCUAAGUGAUGGCGUCGCUACCGCGACU